GUUAUGGAUCUGGUGGUGGAAGUGGUGGAAUAUGGUAGCAGAAGGUUCUAAAAACAGCAGAAAAGGGCUACAGUUCUUAGCAGGAGAGAGAGCGAGGAGUUGUCAGGAAAGCUGCAGGUUACUUUGAGACAGUCGUCCCAAAUGCAUUAGAGGAACUGUAAAAAUCUGCCACAGAAGGAA